rnacentral:rRNA from 1 species
GCAAGUCGAGGGGUAACAGGGUUUUCGGACUGCUGACGACCGGCGCACGGGUGAGUAACGCGUAUGCAACCUACCUACUACUGGGGGAUAGCCCGGAGAAAUUCGGAUUAAUAUCCCAUAGUAUCAUUGAUUCGCAUGGAUUAAUGAUUAAAACUUCGGUGGUAAAGGAUGGGCAUGCGUGCCAUUAGCUAGUUGGUAAGGUAACGGCUUACCAAGGCAAUGAUGGCUAGGGGUUCUAAAAGGAUGGUC